UACGAAGGGGGCUAGCGUUGCUCGGAAUCACUGGGCGUAAAGCGCACGUAGGCGGAUUGUUAAGUCAGGGGUGAAAGCCUGGAGCUCAACUCCAGAAUUGCCUUUGAUACUGCAUGGCUUGAAUCCAGGAGAGGUGAGUGGAAUUCCGAGUGUAGAGGUGAAAUUCGUAGAUAUUCGGAAGAACACCAGUGGCGAAGGCGGCUCACUGGACUGGUAUUGACGCUGAGGCGCGACAGCGUGGGGAGCGAACAGG
rnacentral:rRNA from 1 species